UACGUAGGCAGCAAGCGUUGUUCGGAAUUACUGGGCGUAAAGGGCGCGUAGGCGGUCCUGAUCGUCGGAUGUGAAAGGCCUGGGCUCAACCUGGGAAUGGCAUCCGAUACGGCGGGACUGGAGUGUGGGAGAGGUUGGUGGAAUUCCCAGUGUAGAGGUGAAAUUCGUAGAUAUUGGGAAGAACACCGGUGGCGAAGGCGGCCAACUGGACCACAACUGACGCUGAGGCGCGAAAGCGUGGGGAGCAAACAGG
rnacentral:rRNA from 1 species